rnacentral:rRNA from 1 species
UACGUAGGGUCCGAGCGUUGUCCGGAGUUACUGGGCGUAAAGGGCGCGUAGGCGGCUUUUCAAGUCGGGCGUGAAAUCUCCGGGCUUAACCCGGAAGGGUCGUUCGAUACUGUUGAGCUAGAGUGUGGAAGAGGCAACUAGAAUUCCGUGUGUAGCGGUGAAAUGCGUAGAUAUACGGAGGAAUACCUGAGGCGAAGGCGGGUUGCUGGGCCAACACUGACGCUGAGGCGCGAAAGCCAGGGGAGCAAACGGG